UGGGGAAUUUUGGACAAUGGGCGAAAGCCUGAUCCAGCAAUGCCGCGUGUGUGAAGAAGGCCUUCGGGUUGUAAAGCACUUUUGUCCGGAAAGAAAUCCUUGGCUCUAAUACAGUCGGGGGAUGACGGUACCGGAAGAAUAAGCACCGGCUAACUACGUGCCAGCAGCCGCGGUAAUACGUAGGGUGCAAGCGUUAAUCGGAAUUACUGGGCGUAAAGCGUGCGCAGGCGGUUUGCUAAGACCGAUGUGAAAUCCCCGGGCUCAACCUGGGAACUGCAUUGGUGACUGGCAGGCUAGAGUAUGGCAGAGGGGGGUAGAAUUCCACGUGUAGCAGUGAAAUGCGUAGAGAUGUGGAGGAAUACCGAUGGCGAAGGCAGCCCCCUGGGCCAAUACUGACGCUCAUGCACGAAAGCGUGGGGAGCAAACAGGAUUAGAUACCCUGGUAGUCCACGCCCUAAACGAUGUCAACUAGUUGUUGGGGAUUCAUUCCUUAGUAACGUAGCUAACGCGUGAAG
rnacentral:rRNA from 1 species